rnacentral:lncRNA from 1 species
AAGCUACACAGAGAACACAUUCAUACCCCAAGUCUUUUAGUUCUUCCAUUUAAGCUCAAUCAAUCAUCAUCAUGUCUAGCGCCUGCGACACCUGCGACUGCGCUGACAAGACCCAGUGUGUGUAAGAAUUCUUCUUCUUCUUCUUCUCCCCUUCUUUUGCAAACCAGAUUAAGCAGCUCUUGCUUGUUUAUGGUUUAUAUAUGUUGUGCAACUGUAUAAUAGGUAGUUCAUGUUUCUCCACGGCUUUCCUGCUUACAUUAUGCUAGCUGCUCUCUCAUGUCAUGCAAUUUGUGAUUAAUUUGCAGCAAGAAGGGAAGCAGCUACUCUGCUGGCAUCGUCGAGACUGAGAAGAAGUAACUUUCGCAUCUCUCUAUCUUUAAAGUCCUGUUGUCGUAGUCUUAAUUAGCGUAGAGAGAGAUGAUUGAAGCUUAAGGAUGCACUGAUGAUUAAUAAGCUAGCAGAAUGAAUAAUAUAUAUAAUAUAUUGCUUUAUUCCUAAACAUUUUUAAGGUUGAUAAUGAAGGACAUGGGAACACGAUGCUAAUACAAUGGAGUCUAAUUUGUUUUUGCAGCUAUGUCUCCUCCGUAGUCAUGGAGGUGCCAGCAGCUGAGAACGAUGGCAAGUGCAAGUGCGGUACUGGCUGCACUUGCACUACCUGCACAUGCGGUCAUUAAGCAAGCACAUCAACUACCAUGUGUGAUGUGGGAUGGGGAGUGGAUUAAUAAUGUAAUUUGUGAUAAAUAAUCUGUGUUCUUCUGUACUUGUGGGUGUGGAGUGAACAAACAAAAGUGUCCGUGAGUGUCUUUAUCUUUGUGUCUUCUUCAUUGUUAUAUAGUGGCCAUGUCUGUGGCCUCUGGUGUGGUUUUAAUGAAGUAUUAUAAUUAGUGC